UCUGGUUAUAAUAGCAGAGGAUACACCUGUUCCCAUUCCGAACACAGAAGUUAAGCUCUCUAGCGCUGAUGGUACUUGGUGGGAAGCUGCCUGGGAGAGUAGGACAUAGCCAGGU
rnacentral:rRNA from 1 species